AGGGGGUUGGACCUUACCCUGAGAGGUGGGUGGUGAGCUGGGAGAGGCCUGGCUUGAUUUAGGUUUUACAAGGUUUGCUCUGGCUGCAGCACGGAGCCCAAACCGGAGGGGUGAGGCUGGAGGAGGGAAGAGCAGACGGGAGACAGAGGAGAGCAGACAGGCAGGCUUAGGACAGACCAAGGAGCUGGAAACCCUGGAUGUGCUGGCCUGGACCUGAGUCUCCCUGGAAACAGGCCCGGGACGCGGCUGCUGCCGAGGCUUUCUCCGUCCUCCCAGGGGACCGGAUCAGGCGUCAGCGCACCUCCACCACGAAGACAGUUGGGCAACGGCCCUCGGCCCUCCGACUGCUACCCCCUGUGACUGGCUAGGCCCUUUAGGGAAAGGACCCCCCCGCAACCCCGUGCAGCAUGACGUCCUGCCACAGUGUUCACGGAACGGCUGGCACCAGCCCAAGACGGAAACAACCCAGUGAUGCAUCACCCGAAGCCUCCUCAAAUUCACCAGACAGAAUAUUCUGGAGGCUUGGGAGAGGCAAAAUGGUACAGAGGUUUGGAGCACAGACUUGGGAGCCUGUCAGCCUGGGCCUAAAUCCCAGCUCUGCCAGCCACUGCUGUGGAGCGAGGCAGGUGCCUUGUUGCUCUGUGCCUCAGUUUCCCCAUCUACAACAUAGAGAUGCUGAGAAUAAUACAGCCUCCCAGUAGGAUCACUUCAACCUUAUGACUGGUUAACUAAUCCAUGCACAGCAUCCAGAAACUGUGUCCACCACAUAGUAAAGUCUCUCCAACACCGUGGCGCCACUGGAACCCGUGCUGUUGCCUCCACCUUCUCCCCCUGUAAAUGAAGACACGGAAGUCACAGAGGCGGCAGGACACGCCGGGGGCCUCACUGCCAGGGGAGGCUAGAGCCCGGCGUGCUUCUCCCGGUCACACGGCAUGUGGCCCGAAGUCAGGAGACCUGGUGGCUGCUCUGAGAGCCCACAUCGUGGACAGGCGGACUCCCCCAAUGCCGCUUUGUUGAACAAGGGACCGAGUCGUCAGGCUAUCCAGCACUUACAGACAGGCCAGGCACUCUUUGGAGCAAUGAACUUGCGGUAACUUUAAUAUUCACAUCAGCUGCGGGGGGGCGCUAUCAUUCCCAUUUUACAGAUGAGGAAAAGAGGCUCAGAGAGGUUGAGAGCCUCGCUCAAGGUCACACAGCUGAGUUGGGCUGCGAACCCCGGACGUUGAGCCCCAGAGCACACACUCUUAACCCCAUGUCCCCACUCCCAAGACAGCGGGGGGGGGGGGCCCCGGCGCGGGGCGCCCCCGCUGGCA